AUUCACCCAAUAGAAUGAUUUGCAACAGGCUAAGCUAAUAUCAACCCAGGUUAUAACUCUGUUGAACAACUGUUACAAAGCAACCACAAAGGCUUCAAGGGAGCUGAGCGAUUGUGCCACACAAAUGCAGCGGCUAUUGCCUUCCUGUCCUUUAGGGCAAGUUGUUGAACUGCAUAGGGGACAGCACAAAAAAGGGGGGCAGCGGGGAAUGGACAAGGACAUCCAGGGCUAAGGAGAAAAAAAAUGGAUUUUUUAACACCGUCUUUGGAUUUCUCUCCCAACAGUUGUUGACAGGCUCUGCAAUCUACUACCCACCAGUGCCCUACAGGGGCGACAUUCCCGGAGGACUGGAAACCAACAGGACCAUCACAGUGCGAGGCUUUAUUCCGAAGAAUGCUACCAGGUUUGAAAUCAGAUUAAUAGUUGGCAAGGAUAUUGCUCUGCACCUUAAUUCACACAUGAAACCACAGAGAUAUUUGGUGUACAACUAUUAUCUGAAUGGCGAGUGGGGAGCCGAGAAAAAUGAUCUGCCCUUUAACCCUUUCCAAUUGGAGCAAUACUUUGAGAUCAUGAUCUGCUGUGACAGACACAAGUUCAAGGUUUACACCAGUGGCCGUCACCUGUUCAACUUGGCCCAUCGUUAUGCCUUGACUAGACAGAUCCGCACUCUUGAGAUCAAAGGAGACGUGACCCUUUCCUAUAUCAAUUAUUAAGCA